UACGUAGGGGGCAAGCGUUGUUCGGAAUUACUGGGCGUAAAGAGCGCGCAGGCGGUCGUUCAAGUCGCGUGUGAAAGCCCCCGGCUCAACUGGGGAGGGUCACGCGAUACUGAUCGACUCGAAGGCAGGAGAGGGUAGUGGAAUUCCCGGUGUAGUGGUGAAAUGCGUAGAUAUCGGGAGGAACACCAGUGGCGAAGGCGACUACCUGGCCUGUUCUUGACGCUGAGGCGCGAAAGCUAGGGGAGCAAACGGG
rnacentral:rRNA from 1 species